rnacentral:lncRNA from 1 species
GCGUUGCGUUCCUUCCGACAUUUUUUUAUGUUUCGAAGCACGGCUCCGUGAUCCCUAGCUCGAAUCGAGGCUCGCGCGAAUGAGCGCGUUCCUCGAGAACCAAAUUAGGUAUUGGAAAUAAUUUGGAACAGUGAGACGGAACGUUACCAGCAAGGUCAUGCAAAUGAGGACAAUUCAUCAGUCGCAUCUGCAUGGAAACAUAAUCUAACAUUUUUAUGCUGGAAUUCAAAUGUCGAGAAACUUUUAAUUAUUAAUAAAACACAACAUAACCUAAAAGUUUAGUCUCUUAUUCAAUAAUGUGAUGGAAAACGCAGUGUCAAAAAGAAAUUGAAUUUCGCAUUUUGGUAAACACAAAAGUGAAGGUGAACUUGCGCAUCAAAUGCGUAUACUCGUUUGAACACGACGCGUGAGAUGUAUAUAAAAUUUACUCGGGAAAGUAUUUAUUACCAAUACAAGAUCAUGAGUACUCAGGAAAUUUAUUUAUUUAUACCUAAAGAGCUUCGGGCGAAUUUUCAUGUCGGAGAACGAAAUCAUGAUAACUCUAUAACGACAAUUGACGAACUGUGUAUACGCCGAGAGUACGGAAUCCGAGCGGAGGAUAAAAACGGAAUACGGAAUAGUAAUACCGGUGACACUGACGCAAUAUCGGGCGAACGUUCGAAUCAAUCAAUAACGAGUAACAAUAAAAACGAGGAAAAAAUGCCACCUGGAAUAUCGUGGUAAAUCGCAGCACGAUAAAAUUAUGCAAAAGACUCAACCUCUUCAUUUAUUCUCGAUGAAAAUAAAAUUCCACCAUGACCGAAGAUUUACUUUGGAAUGAAUGCGCAAUACGAAUAAAUAAUAUUGAAACGUGUGUGCGUGUACGUGUCUCGUGUGUUUAUAAAUAAAACGAAAGAUGGAAUCGA